UACGUAGGGUGCGAGCGUUGUCCGGAAUUACUGGGCGUAAAGAGUUCGUAGGCGGUUUGUCGCGUCGUCCGUGAAAACUUGGGGCUCAACCCCAAGCUGCGGGCGAUACGGGCAGACUUGAGUACUGCAGGGGAGACUGGAAUUCCUGGUGUAGCGGUGAAAUGCGCAGAUAUCAGGAGGAACACCAGCAGCGAAGGCGGCGCUCUGGGCUGGAACUGACGCUGAGGAGCGAAAGCGUGGGGAGCGAACAGG
rnacentral:rRNA from 1 species